rnacentral:rRNA from 1 species
UAGGGAAUCUUCCACAAUGGGCGAAAGCCUGAUGGAGCAACGCCGCGUGUGUGAUGAAGGGUUUCGGCUCGUAAAACACUGUUGUAAGAGAAGAAUGACAUUGAGAGUAACUGUUCAAUGUGUGACGGUAUCUUACCAGAAAGGAACGGCUAAAUACGUGCCAGCAGCCGCGGUAAUACGUAUGUUCCAAGCGUUAUCCGGAUUUAUUGGGCGUAAAGCGAGCGCAGACGGUUAUUUAAGUCUGAAGUGAAAGCCCUCAGCUCAACUGAGGAAUUGCUUUGGAAACUGGAUGACUUGAGUGCAGUAGAGGAAAGUGGAACUCCAUGUGUAGCGGUGAAAUGCGUAGAUAUAUGGAAGAACACCAGUGGCGAAGGCGGCUUUCUGGACUGUAACUGACGUUGAGGCUCGAAAGUGUGGGUAGCAAACAGGA